CGUAGUCAUAGUGAUAUAGUGGUUUAAAAUUAUCUAUGGUAAUAGUUAUUACUUAUAAGGCAAUAACACGAAUUUUUAUGGAACGCAACAUUAUUAUCGUAAAUCUGUGACAAACGUAGUAGUAGCUUUUGGUAGCAGCGCUCUAAUACGGCAUGGGCUCAUAAUUAGAUAGUAAGUUUAAAAAAAUAAGGUGUGGCUGUGUCAUGAGCAUGGCCGUGUGUUUACGUAAAUACGUCUCGUUACGAUGAAUAUUUUUUUGGAGCUUAUUAGAGUUUACUCCGUAGGAAUCGAUUUUCAUAUAAGGCCUCCGGUAUGAAAAAAAUAUGAACAGUAAAAUCUACUGAACGAAUGACCUCGUUACGUUUCUCGCAAGACUAGUAAGCCUUUUUUGUGCCUAUUUAGACAGUCGAUCUGAAGGAGUAAACUCCAGCCGUGCGUCGGAGCUGUCACACACACCAUUGCCUUGACUUGGUCAUAUGUUGUAUUUUUCUUGGUACCCUAUGAUUGGUCUUAAGAAGUACUGUCAAAACGUAUACGAUCUCUUUAUUUUGACUAGCCCUUUGGCGCAGUGUGCAGUGAUCCUGCUUUCUGAUCAGAGAUUCGUAGGUCAUAUUUCCACCCAGUCAGGGCUUAAUAAUAUACCAAUGUAUUUUUUAUAUGUACCUUACUAUAUCAGCCUGCUGUUACUUAUAACAUAAAUUACCUAUUCAAUAAAGGUAGAACCUUACCAACAGACGGCCGUGAGUCAUUAAUGAUAUUUUAUUUAUUUGGAUUUGACUUUUCGACGAAAUAUAUUUUUUAAAUUUAACUCCUUGCAUUUACAGUCACAAUUUGAUAAUAAUGUUUUGUAAUAUAAUCAUUAGAUUUUGACGAAAGCUGACGAUUGGAACUAGAACAUAGGCCGUAGCUUCUCCGAGUCAAAGUUAAAUACACCUUAUACCCUUAUAUUCAAUGUAAUCUGUGGUUAAAUAGAAUAUUUCGAUACGCAGCAAAAUUACUAAAAAUAGCGAAGCUUCGCCCUCCACUGUGUGCUGUUAUGCUGUGGUGUAAUUUAUUUUCUAUUUAUCCGAGAUAAUAUAUAUAGCAACACCAAACUCUAUCCCCCGAUUUCGAUAUCAUUCGUUUUUUUAAAUUGCCUCCCUAAGAAAGCUAAAAAUAAAGUACUACCUUCAUUUUUGUGUAUACUCUUUGCCCUACAGUCACAAACUAUUUUUGUUUAUUAGCUGCAUACUAUUUAGCUUUUUAGACAUUUUUUUAUUUUUGUUUGGCUUUAGUACUUUUUGUCCACACACGAACAUUAAUUCAAAGUCUAUUAGGUCAUAUGGUCCAAAAAUAUGUAAGUAUUUCGAAGUAUUUUUAAAAGACUGUUCAAAAUAACCUAAGUUGAUCUAUAAUACAUUUUAAUUAUGUAAGUUGCGAUGUACACACAUAGUGUUGUAUUUGUCUAAAAGAUAUCAGCAAGAACUUCACAUUUAUCAUUGUUUAUUAACGAAUUAAUUAGUAAUUUUGUAGAUAUAAAUUAUAAUUAAAUAAAAGUGAAAACAUCAGGUUAUUAAAAUACAAAGAAAAAUGUCUUCCAUCGUGCGUACAGGUUAGUACAUUAUUUUGUGGGUAUAUUGAGUUUUAUUUAUUAAAUUUUUUGCGUAUA
rnacentral:misc_RNA from 1 species